rnacentral:lncRNA from 1 species
AUCAAACACACUGGCCAGGAGUUUCAACUGCCAGCUUACAAAGUAGUAAGAUGUAUGAAGACAUGUCACCCAGGUCAUUGCUUUUUAUCUCUGAGGCUAUUAAGAACGAAUAAGUCAUAUUUGUUGAAGCGUUGUUGUAGCGGUGAGUUACAGCAAUUGCCUGUAUAACAAAGCUUUGACAUGAAAAGAAAUAAAUGAGCGGCUACAAUAUUUUACUGAUUUUCGAAUGCCAAAACUGAUGGAAUUGCAUGAACUUGACACAGAGCAACAUCUGGUGUAUCCACAUGGUAUGUGUCUCCUACUGUAAAUGCAUCACUCGGCAUGCAAAUCCAGAUUCAGUCAACACUAGAAAAUAUCUCUAGUUGAAUGAGACACAGACACAUCGUUUUGUGAUUGUGACCGUAACAUUCGUGAAAUAUCGCCGAUACCAUUUUUUAUUCCUCAACAACACCUACUAAUAUUUGCGCUACGAGCAAAUCCAUGUUAAUUAAAUCCGUAAAGUGUGCUAUGAGCAUGUAACGUAUCAAAUGAAAUAUGUUCACAAACUACGAUAGAGGGUAUUUUACCACGGGUUAAGGGAAACUGAAAUCGUUACGUUUGCCAUAUACAUGUAUAGUCUAGUUUCAUGUCACCCGUCUAUGUUAUUUCAAAAUGUCCAGAAUUGAAACAUCCCCUUUAGUUUUAGUGUGAUUAUUUUCAAGUUCACUAGGAUAUUUGGGUCAAUGAGUUACAGGACAUCAUAACUUUAACCAGUUUACAGAACCUGACAGGUUGCUUAUAAACUAAAUAUACCAAUUUCGGUAUCUAUGACACAUGUUUCCUGAUAAAACUUCAACUUUUCUCAUAGUUCCUAGUUUGAAGUCGCCUUUCUGUGUCAGUGUCAAGUAUAGAUCAAGAUAAGAAAAAGACCAGUCAGUUUUAUCAUUUAUUUCAUGUUCAGGGAGAUGGCAUCUUUCUUACAAAAGAUGUGCUUAUUUUCGUUUAUAUCAUUAGAUGUCAAUAUUGUUGACUGAUCUGUGAAUUUACCAAUUAGUAAGAUAUAUACCAAAAGUUCGGGAUAAGACAACGAAUUCUAAAUAUCAAUAGUUUAAAAG